rnacentral:rRNA from 1 species
UACGAAGGGGGCUAGCGUUGCUCGGAAUUACUGGGCGUAAAGCGCACGUAGGCGGUUCGUUAUGUCGGAUGUGAAAAGCCCUUGGCUUAACCGAGGAAGGUGCAUCCGAAACUGGCCGAGCUAGAGUACUAAAGAGGAUCGACGGAAUUCCCGGUGUAGAGGUGAAAUUCGUAGGAUAAUCGGGAGGAACACCGGUGGCGAAGGCGGCGAAGUCGUGGGUACGAUACGUGACGCUGAGGUUG